GAUGAACGUUGGCGGCGUGCCUAAUACAUGCAAGUCGAGCGAACAGAUAAGGAGCUUGCUCCUUUGAAGUUAGCGGCGGACGGGUGAGUAACACGUGGGUAACCUACCUAUAAGACUGGGAUAACUUCGGGAAACCGGAGCUAAUACCGGAUAACAUUUAGAACCGCAUGGUUCUAAAGUGAAAGAUGGUUUUGCUAUCACUUAUAGAUGGACCCGCGCCGUAUUAGCUAGUUGGUAAGGUAACGGCUUACCAAGGCGACGAUACGUAGCCGACCUGAGAGGGUGAUCGGCCACAAUGGAACUGAGAGACGGUCCAGACUCCUACGGGAGGCAGCAGUAGGGAAUCUUCCGCAAUGGGCGAGAGCCUGACGGAGCAACGCCGCGUGAGUGAUGAAGGGUUUCGGCUCGUAAAACUCUGUUAUUAGGGAAGAACAAAUGUGUAAGUAACUGUGCACAUCUUGACGGUACCUAAUCAGAAAGCCACGGCUAACUACGUGCCAGCCGCCGCAGUAA
rnacentral:rRNA from 1 species